rnacentral:rRNA from 1 species
CCUACGGGAGGCAGCAGUGGGGAAUAUUGGACAAUGGGGGCAACCCUGAUCCAGCCAUGCCGCGUGUGUGAAGAAGGCCCUCGGGUUGUAAAGCACUUUCAGUGAGGAAGAACGCCUGGUGGUUAAUACCCAUCAGGAAAGACAUCACUCACAGAAGAAGCACCGGCUAACUCCGUGCCAGCAGCCGCGGUAAUACGGAGGGUGCGAGCGUUAAUCGGAAUUACUGGGCGUAAAGCGCGCGUAGGUGGCUUGAUAAGCCGGUUGUGAAAGCCCCGGGCUCAACCUGGGAACGGCAUCCGGAACUGUCAAGCUAGAGUGCAGGAGAGGAAGGUAGAAUUCCCGGUGUAGCGGUGAAAUGCGUAGAGAUCGGGAGGAUUACCAGUGGCGAAGGCGGCCUUCUGGACUGACACUGACACUGAGGUGCGAAAGCGUGGGUAGCAAACAGGAUUAGAUACCCUUGUAGUC